rnacentral:rRNA from 1 species
UACGAAGGGGGCUAGCGUUGCUCGGAAUCACUGGGCGUAAAGCGCACGUAGGCGGCUUUCUAAGUCAGGGGUGAAAUCCUGGAGCUCAACUCCAGAACUGCCUUUGAUACUGGAGAGCUUGAGUCCGGGAGAGGUGAGUGGAACUCCGAGUGUAGAGGUGAAAUUCGUAGAUAUUCGGAAGAACACCAGUGGCGAAGGCGGCUCACUGGCCCGGUACUGACGCUGAGACGCGAAAGCGUGGGUAGCAAACAGG